CACGUGACAUACUUUACUCAAAAUGACAGUAUUGUAAGUCUUACUCAAUUCUUUGUCGUCUGAAUACCACACGUGACAAACAUUACUUAAAAUGACAGUAUUGUAAGUAUUUCUCAGUAAUUUGUGGUCUGAAUACCACACGUGACAUACUAACUCAAAAUGGCAGUAUUGUAAGUCUUACUCAGUUCUUUGUCGUCUGAAUACCACACGUGACAUACAUUACUUAAAAUGACAGUAUUGUAACUCUUACUCAGUUCUUUGUCGUCUGAAUACU
rnacentral:lncRNA from 1 species